AACAUGAAGACAAAUUAUUUGCAAAGUCAAAUUCUAUAUCCAGACAAGCUAUCAAGUGCAACAGUCGAAUAAAGACACUUACAAGGUCCCCAGACAUUUACCUGCCAUGAACCCUUUCUCAGGAAUCUACUGAAGGAUGCGCUUCAACAAAACAAAGAAUUACCUAAGAAAGAAGAGAGAAGCCCCAGGAAACAGAGGAUCCAACAUAGGAGAGAAGGAAAGAGGAUUCCCAGGAUGAUGCUAAAGGGAAGCUCUGAGCUGGUAACUGCAGUGGGCCAAGGGGGAACCAGCCCUGAGUUUGGAGCGGGAAGACAGCUCCAGGAAGACAUCCCCACAGGGAGGGAAACACAACUGAGAGAUUACUAAUCAGUGUUCAUCACGCUGAGGAGCGUCUGGGGAUGCAUUACUCAUAAACACCCAAAGAACUACACAAUUAAAUAGAUAAGGCAAUUAUUUACUCGGGGCGGGGGGGCGCGGGGAGAUGUACAAGAACCAAAAUGUAAUUAUAGUGCACGAUGUAGACACUCAAAAUAAUGCAAAUACUGAGAGUGAUUUAAUCAAGAAUUGUGCCAUCCCAUAAUUUAUAAUAUUCUAACAUGCACAUACUUCUCACAUUUUAACAUCUUGGAAGUCAGACUGCACCUCAUGGUCAAUGUGAUAAGAAAGUAUUGUUUCUAAGUUUAACUGGGAGCAUGUUCAUGCUUUUGCAGUGACUCAUAAACAAUGGUACAUCUUAUAAUGGAUGGCAUCUAAGAUGGGAAGAGAACUCUAUGGGGAAGUGAGGGAGAAGUAUGAACACCUGUGUCUAGGAGGGGGGACGAAAGCUAAACCCUCAUCUUCCACAGCAAUAAGUCAGUAGAACAUUUCUAAAAUUAUGAAAGUAAAGAUGCAGUUUUAUAAACAUACUGUUUAGAACGACUGCUGCCAAUACCAGGAGUACCACUAAAAGCACAGCCAGCCGUUGGCUUUGGGGAACAGUAACUGGAGGUAAGAAUGGGUGAGGCAGGAGGCACUGGGUGUGACGUUUCUAUAAGCCUCCUAAACAUGUGAAUUUUAAAACUAUAUACGUUAGAAGAAAAAGUAAUAUGUAUAGAAAUAAGAAUAAAACGCAGCGCUCCAUUUCAAGCCUCGCCAGAAGUUUUCAGAUCGUGAAAAUGAAGACGGAUCUUUACGGUCUCCUCUUUCAGGACAAGGCGUCUAACCGUCCCCGGGCCCCACCCCAGGCUGGUCUCAGGAAGGGAGGCUCCUGGGUGACAUGUACAUUGUCUCACAUGCCACCUCUCGCCUCCCAUCUCAGGAAACUCUGGCUGCCUGAUUUUUCACUCUCAGAUGAGAUAGCCGGUCUUCCGAGAAGGUGGAAACUGCAGGGCAUACGACACAUUUUCCAAAUGCUCCCGUUCCCCAGAGCCCUUGAGACUGAGAAAGGAAGCUGUCGGUUUGGCAGGUGUGGAGGCCGCUUCCCGCAGACAUCUGUCAGUGGCUCUGGAAGCGUGGGCCCCUCCUCUUUACAGAGACAAAACCCCGGAUUCCUGCUGAGAUGAGGCACCAGCAUGUGUCGGCUGCACGUCAGCCGGGAAGGAGAGGGUGAGGAAACAAGAGAAAGAUCCCUCCUGGUAAAGCAAAAGCUGCCGGCUCCUCGAACGUCAGCCACACGCACACGAGUCCCGCAGGCCAGGAGGCACCCAGCUGCUCCCCAGGACAUCCGGGCACUGCCCGAAUCUGCGCGGGGGGUGGGGGCGGGAGACAAACAUCUGCGAUUCUGCCAGGGAACGGGGUGAGGCCACCGAUGCUGGGAGUGAUUUGGAAUAAGCACCCAGGGAGCUCGAGGCGGCGGUCAGGCAUUCGGGGCCAGCGUCUCUGAUGCGGGGCCCCCCAGACCGACAUUCCGCUGCUGUGAGACGCUGCGGCCACACCACGCGUUCGUGUGCAAACACUUCACACCGGUCGGUAAACAGCCGCAGCCCGCUCGCCCGCCACCUCCCGCCACCGCACAGCCAGCCAGCGGGGAACACACGGCCCAGCAGAGGGCCUCCAGGAGCUGGCGCGGAGGCCCCCCGCGGACGGCUGCUCUGGCAGGCUGCAGAGUGGAAAGGGCCCACCCAGUAAGGACUUAAGAGGACCGGUGUAAAUGCUGAUCUCUCUGACCGAGGCCUUCUCUUCCUGAAAUGCCUGCCCAAAGGGGCGUGCAAAUCGUAACCACUCUGCUUGCACUAGCUGCUCCAGACAGGGUCUAUCCUCUGCCACCGUGCAUGGGCUUCAGCCUGUCAAGGGUGCCCAUGGUCCUGCUACAGCACUGCAGGUUCUGGGCCAGCUGGGCCAGGUAACCCGGUGGCCAGAGUGGAAGAGAUGAUGUAAAGAUGCAGAUUGUUUAACCUGGAGAAGAGCAGGUGGUCCAAGGGGCCAUGGUUAGAAGUCUUCAAAUGCAUGCGUAGUAGGAAAAACAUGAAAGUGUUCUGUACAGCUUUGAGGGGUGGAAUCAAGUGGGCCCAGUGCUAGGAUUUAAGAGGUCAGAUUUUUUUUUUCUAACCAUCUUAUCCAUUUUAAAGUGUACAAUUUGGUAUUGUUAAGUAUAUUCACAUCAUUGUACAACAUCUUGCAAAACGGAAACUCUAUACCCAUUAAACAUUAAUUCCCACUCACUCAAGCCCUUGGCAACCACCUUUCUACUUUCUGUUUCUAUGAUUUUCACUACUUUAGAUAC